rnacentral:rRNA from 1 species
UACGGGGGGGGCAAGCGUUGUUCGGAAUUACUGGGCGUAAAGGGCUCGUAGGCGGCCAACUAAGUCAGACGUGAAAUCCCCAGGCUCAACCUGGGAACUGCGUCUGAUACUGGAUGGCUUGAAUUCGGGAGAGGGAUGCAGAAUUCCAGGUGUAGCGGUGAAAUGCGCAGAUAUCGGGAGGAACACCGGUGGCGAAGGCGGUUCUCUGGGCCUUACCUGACGCUGAGGAGCGAAAGCGUGGGGAGCGAACAGG